UGGGGAAUAUUGCGCAAUGGGGGAAACCCUGACGCAGCGACGCCGCGUGCGGGAUGAAGGCCUUCGGGUUGUAAACCGCUUUUGAUUGGGAGCAAGCUUUCGGGUGAGUGUACCUUUCGAAUAAGCGCCGGCUAACUACGUGCCAGCAGCCGCGGUAAUACGUAGGGCGCAAGCGUUAUCCGGAAUUAUUGGGCGUAAAGAGCUUGUAGGCGGUUCGUCGCGUCUGGUGUGAAAGCCCACGGCUUAACCGUGGAAGUGCAUUGGAAACUGGGAAGCUUGAGUACAGAAGAGGAAAGUGGAACUCCAUGUGUAGCGGUGGAAUGCGUAGAUAUAUGGAAGAACACCAGUGGCGAAAGCGACUUUCUGGUCUGUCACUGACGCUGAGGCCCGAAAGCGUGGGUAGCAAACAGG
rnacentral:rRNA from 1 species